UGGGGAAUAUUGCACAAUGGGCGCAAGCCUGAUGCAGCCAUGCCGCGUGUGUGAAGAAGGCCUUCGGGUUGUAAAGCACUUUCAGCGAGGAGGAAGGGUUCAGUGUUAAUAGCACUGUUCAUUGACGUUACUCGCAGAAGAAGCACCGGCUAACUCCGUGCCAGCAGCCGCGGUAAUACGGAGGGUGCAAGCGUUAAUCGGAAUUACUGGGCGUAAAGCGCACGCAGGCGGUUUGUUAAGUCAGAUGUGAAAUCCCCGCGCUUAACGUGGA
rnacentral:rRNA from 1 species